rfam:Firmicutes bacterium CAG:882 genomic scaffold, scf314
UUUGGGAGAAACUUAGAUGUUCUUAGAAGCCUGUAAUACGCUAAAGCCAUUUCCGACAUGGAUGUCGGAAAAGAUGCAAUGGAGCCACGAUGGCGACUUUGCAUCGGUGGCGGAUGAUGAGAUGGCUUGCACAGGCUUCUUAGAACAUCUUAGCUUCGUACAAC